rnacentral:rRNA from 1 species
UACGAAGGGGGCUAGCGUUGUUCGUAGUUACUGGGCGUAAAGGGCGCGUAGGCGGCGCACCAAGUCAGGCGUGAAAGCCCUGGGCUCAACCCGGGAAUUGCGCUUGAGACUGGUGUGCUUGAGUACGGGAGAGGAUAGUGGAAUUCCCAGUGUAGAGGUGAAAUUCGUAGAUAUUGGGAAGAACACCGGUGGCGAAGGCGGCUAUCUGGACCGUAACUGACGCUGAGGCGCGAAAGCGUGGGGAGCAAACAGG